CAACAUUGGACGCUUCGUGCAAUUUUUGAAGGAACUUGAUGAAGAUCUGUUGCAACUGCAGCACUUCAUACUUGUAUCUCAGUUAAUUAUGUACCCAUCUACUACAUAUGUAUACCUGUCAAUGCAAAUUGUAUUCAGAUUAGCAGUGCGACAGUGCUACUUAUCGAUGUAAUAGGCGCACUUGAGAAAUUCAGGUUGAUGUUUCAACUUCUUACCAGGCUAUAUUUUCCGCAUGCAGACAUAAGUGAUUAAGCUCAGGGAAAACCAUGGUAGUGGUAUCUUGUUUGAUGCUAGAACUCCCGUACCAGCACCAUGGGGCAGUCCUGCAGAUCAUGUGGCAAGUGUCAUGAAGGUUGUAAGGCGAGCGUGAAGCCACCAACAACCCCAUGAUUGAGCUGCAGAGAAGGGUGGACUCUGAUUCUACAGCUCCCGCUUUGCUGAUUGCUUCUUUCUGAUUAAAUUAGAAGAUGGGAGAAGAGCACCAUGGUCAGACCUUUAGAUCGUAUGGCAUGUGCCGAGGAGGCCAGCUGUCCUUCUUCCCCCAUUCUUCUUCUCCCUACCUCUCCUCCCCG
rnacentral:lncRNA from 1 species